UACGGGGGGGGCAAGCGUUGUUCGGAAUUACUGGGCGUAAAGGGCUCGUAGGCGGCCAACUAAGUCGGAUGUGAAAUCCCCAGGCUUAACCUGGGAACUGCAUCCGAUACUGGAUGGCUUGAAUCCGGGAGAGGGAUGCAGAAUUCCAGGUGUAGCGGUGAAAUGCGUAGAUAUCAGGAGGAAUACCUAUGGCGAAAGCAGGUAUCUGGGCCAUCACUGACGCUGAGCCGCGAAAGCUAGGGGAACAAACAGG
rnacentral:rRNA from 1 species